ensembl:lncRNA
CUGAAUCCCGGCUCAGUUCUGUGUGGCCACUCUGGUAUUUUCUAUCCUCUCUGAUCUCUAGUGCUAUUGGGGGACAAAGCCGCUAAGGGAAGCAGGCAUCUCUUCCUCCCACUUGACCAAUUCUAUAAGUUAUUCAUCCACUGUGCAUCUUGAAAUGCUGUGCUUGCCAUCAGAGUGAGUGUUAGAGAGGAGACACAGAUGACGUGGUCUAGUACUCUAGCAUUCUCUGCUCAGAAAAUAAUUAAAGGAGCUAAGGAGAAAGCAUGAAAGUCUUUAAGACUGGAGCACUGACACCAUACUGGAAGAGAAGGGAGGCGCAUCUGUGUGUUUGUGUUUAAGAACGGUUAACACAUUGAGACUCCAGAGAAACAUGUGGGUCUACCCAGUAGAUGGUCAGCCAACACUGAGAAAUAACUCAAGCCAGGAGAGAUUGAAAAGGAUUCCACAAAGAGAGGAAAGAAAGAGAAGAAAAUAAUGAGAAGAGACUUCAGACUGUGAAAGAUUAUCUCUGGGCUGGCUGUGGGUGGGUACAGAGACCCUCACAAUAGACCUUCGUGUUCAUUCGUCUGCACAGAGCAGAGUCCUGGGGAGACUUAGUGGAUGGUGGGAGAACGAAAUCCACCCUGCACUCCUGAAGGGAAUCGAUGGGUUGGAACACAAGUGUGAACAUUUGGUAGAGACUGUAACCUGCAAUCUGGGUUAAAUGUGACAUAACUCUUUAAGUGUGUGCCAUCUUGCCGCAAAGCAGCUUCGUCAAAGACAGAAGGCCUUUGUUGGUUUUCUGAGAUUUACUGUGACCUCGGAAUCUUGACACUUUCACACUCCGUCAGAGGACAGACUUGAACUUGUCUCUUGUUUUCAUGUCUAAUAAAUGUGUUUUUUCCCAAGAAGCUUUGAUGCCA